CAUAAUUACCCGCCGCAAUUAGCCUCCUGAAGACUAGGGGGGGAGCUUAGUUUAGAUUCUGGUUAGGUAGUUAGUGGGAUGAACUUUGGUGGUAGUUUGGAUGUGUAUUGUGGACGGUUGGCACGCUGUGGGUUAUGUGUAAUUUAUUUACCUGUAGCAUCAUUGGAUGUGGAGUGUAGUCUGAGAUACAUUGACCUGUGGGUUAGCUGAGGAUUGAAUUUGUCAGGCUGAUUUGUUUGUGUUGUAACCAUGGCUAGUGUAGAGGAGUUUUUGAGUGCUCCGUCUGAGGAGUUGUUAGAUCGCUGUUCAAGGGAGCAACUGGUAAGGAUCGCGGAACAUUUUGAAUUAGAUGUUGGGGAUAAGCGUGUAAAGGAGGGUGUGAGAUCUGUGCUUAAGGCAAAUUGGUCUGUUUUGGGUAUGGUGCAACCCGCUGUCAGGUCUAAAGAACGUACUCAAAGUCCAGAUGAAGAGUCUAAGAGGUAUGCCCUUGGUGAAGCCAGUAGUAAUGUUGGUCUAACGUUUGAGCAGCAGAAAGAGUUAAUAUUGUUGCAAAGGGAGAAUGAAAUGUUUAAAUUGGAAAGACGCAGGCUGGAACUAGAGGAGCGCCGGUUGAGUUUAAGUGCACCUGGUGGAGCUCCAGUGUUUCCUGGUCCACCUUUGUUUGAUGUUGUCACUAGUCUGCGUUUAGUGCCUCCAUUUUCAGAACGAGACCCAGAUACUUUUUUUUUCACUGUUUGAGCGUGUAGCCAUUACUCGGGGUUGGGGUGAUGAAGACCGCACCUUGCUCUUACAGUGCGUGUUAACUGGUAAAGCACAGCAGGCUUACUCUGCCCUGUCUAUGGCUGAAAGUAAAAGCUAUUCUACGGUUAAAGCGGCGGUGCUAAAAUCAUAUGAGUUGGUGCCAGAGGCCUAUCGCCAGAGAUUUCGGGCAUGGGAGAAGUCUGGGGAACAAACUCAUGUGGAGUUUGCCAGGGAUCUGGUUACUCAUUUCAACCGUUGGUGCAUGGCUUCUACUGUAGACACGUUUGAUAGAUUGUGUGAUUUGAUUGUUCUGGAGCAAUUUAAAAAUUCUGUUCCUAGCCACAUUGCAACGUAUGUAAAUGAGCACAAAGUGAAGACUGCUGCAGAGGCCGCUGCUCUAGCAGAUGAUUAUGUCUUGACACAUCAGGCUAACUGUGAGUUUGGUGUGCCUGCUGGGUACAGGCCAAGUCAACCUGGACCAGGAAGUAGAUGGUGCGAGGAAAGUGGUGGUUUUCAUUUGGGUAAAUCAGUUCAGGGCAUCCGUGCUCAGUCACAUGGUGACUAUGAUGUGUGUAAUUACUGCCGUCAAAAAGGGCACUGGAAAAGUGAAUGUCCUGCACUGAGAGAUAAAGAAAAGUUUUCUGGUAAGCUAAACUCACAUGUGAAACCUGUCGCGUUGUCAUCCGCGCAGAUCGUUAGGAAGGGAAAAAUCGUUGCAUUGUGUUCCUCUGUGGGUAGGUCUGGAAAUGAAGGUGACUACUCGGCCUUUAUGUCAGAUGGUUGUGUGUUGGGUUGGGUUACGGCCUGCAUUGCCUGUGGAAGGGGUGGAUAUAAUUCUUGGGAAUGACCUGGCAGGAGGCAGAGUUUGGGCUGAGGCUCCACCCCCGAGUGUUGUCACCCAGGUUCCUGAACCUCUACCUGCUGUCUCACAGGCUGUGAGGACAGAGGUGGAUCCUGAGGCUGAGCUGUUUCCAGUUUGUGCAGUAACUCGAGCAAUGAGUCGGGUAAGAGACCAACCUGCUCAACGAUCGAAGGCUGAGGGAAAAGUUGUUAUCCUACCUGAACCUCUGAAGUCCAUCCCUUACAUUGAUCUUGUUAGAGAACAAGAAACUGAUCCUUCAGUGAGUGCUUUGUUUAAUCUGGUGUCUCCAGUGGUAGACAUGGAAACUGCAGCUCAGGGGUACUUACAAAGUGGUGCGCUGGUGCGUAAAUGUUCUGCACACGGUGAUUGUGUGGGAAAACCUGUAGUGCAGAUUGUGGUGCCUGAGAAAUUUGGAGAGUCUGUCAUGAAAGCCUCCCAUGAUGAUGUGGCUGGGCAUGGGGCUGUUCAUGGAACUUGCCAUCGAGUCUUGCAGCAUUUCUUUUGGCCCAGAUUGGAAGAGGAUGUCACCGUUUUCAGCAAAACUUGUCAGCGGCAGAAUUUGCUUGACUUUGUGAAUGUCUUCGGGCAUAGACUGUAUAUGGUGGGGCAAAUGACAAAACAAAGGUUUUGCCAUUUGAGGUGGCCAUUGUUUCUGCUGUCUUGUGAUUUGGGUUGAUGCCUUUUUAUAGAGGGCAAGGAAAAUAUAUGGCUGAUGCCUUCUAGUGGCUUGCUAAGUCUGCAUAGUUAAUAUUGCCUUAUAUGCGUUUUCCCUUCAUUCCAUCAUGUUCUCUUCUGCUCUCUCUUAAAGUGCUCCUAGGUCUCAAGGUUGCGGAGGGGGUAGGAAGAGUGUUUGCCAAACUGGUAAGAUAAACUUAAAAUUGAAGGAGGCCUAAUUGUGUUUUUCAGUCAGACUUGAGUGCCCAGAGAAGAUGUAUCUUGGGGGAUGGGAUUAUUUAAGUGUUUAAUGUAUGUUGCGGAGUACCUGUUUGGUCUCCUUUCUUAUGCGGGGGUGUGUGAUGAUCCCCUGCCCCUCUGUGUGUUGUGCCAUUCUGGAUUUCUCUUCCUGUGCUGGAGGAGGCUGUAGGAGCACACCUGACUCCACUCUCAAUUACUGAGCUUAUAUAGAGGAGCUGAGGGCUCAGUUCUCUCUCUCUCUCUUCUCCUCCACAGCCACCACCUUGGUUUGUUUAGUUGGUUUGAUUAUGUUGGGUUUUUUUUGGUAGUUGGUUACUUUGGCUUAUACAUUUGCAUUUCACCUCAUCGCAUGCAGGCACACACCUCACCACUGAUUUACUGACUUACAUAAUUAAGUUUCUUUGUGUUGCUUUCGGUUAAUUAAAUAAACAUUAUUUUAUUAUAACUUCAAAA